GCCUGGAUGGCGGAAUUGGUAGACGCGGAAGACUCAGGAUCUUCUGGUGGAUUAAAACACCUUUGGGGUUCAAAUCCCCUUUCAGGCACCA
rnacentral:tRNA from 2 species